rnacentral:ncRNA from 1 species
CUCAUUUGAUUACAUGGCUUUUCUGUCUAGGAAUUAUGGAAACAGGAUGCUUUAUUUGAUCUUAGGAUAUAAUAUUACUGAAAGUUUUUGCUAACGUUAAUAAAAAGGAACUGCAAUAGAUACAUUCAAAUGUCUGAAACAGGCUCAUGAGUUAGAACACUGAGCUCUUUGCACUCAGAGUGUGGAAGUCAGAAUUCUGACUCCACUCAGCAGUGAGUCUCUGUGUUUGGAGGGACGGCCGGGGGCAUUCGUAUUGCGCCGCUAGAGGUGAAAUUCUUGGACCGGCGCAAGACGGACCAGAGCGAAAGCAUUUGCCCAAGAAUGUUUUCAUUAAUCAAGAA